AGUGAACGCUGGCGGUAGGCCUAACACAUGCAAGUCGAACGGCAGCACAGUAAGAGCUUGCUCUUACGGGUGGCGAGUGUCGGACGGGUGAGGAAUACAUCGGAAUCUACUUUUUCGUGGGGGAUAACGUAGGGAAACUUACGCUAAUACCGCAUACGACCUGCGGGUGAAAGCAGGGGAUCUUCGGACCUUUCGCGAUUGAAUGAGCCGAUGUCGGAUUAGCUAGUUGGCGGGUUAAAGGCGCACCAAGGCGACGAUCCGUAGCUGGUCUGAGAGGAUGAUCCGCCAGACUGGAACUGAGAAACGGUCCAGACUCCUACGGGAGGCAGCAGUGGGGAAUAUUGGACAAUGGGCGCAAGCCUGAUCCAGCCAUACCGCGUGGGUGAAGAAGGACUUCGGGUUGUAAAGCCCUUUUGUUGGGAAAGAAAAGCAGCAGGUUAAUACCCCGCUGUUCUGACGGUACCCAAAGAAUAAGCACCGGCUAACUUCGUG
rnacentral:rRNA from 1 species